rnacentral:rRNA from 1 species
GGUCGACGAUUCCUACGGGAGGCAGCAGUGGGGAAUAUUGCACAAUGGGCGCAAGCUUGAUGCAGCCAUGCCGCGUGUGUGAAGAAGGCCUUCGGGUUGUAAAGCACUUUCAGUCGUGAGGAAGGUAGUGUAGUUAAUAGCUGCAUUACUUGACGUUAGCGACAGAAGAAGCACUGGCUAACUCCGUG